rnacentral:rRNA from 1 species
UCGGAGUCUGACAGCAGUAGCGUGCAGGAGACGGCCUCUGGGUUGUAAACUGCUUUUAGUUGGGAAUAAAAAGAGGGACGUGUCCCUUAUUGUAUGUACCAUCAGAAAAAGGACCGGCUAAUUCCGUGCCAGCAGCCGCGGUAAUACGGAAGGUCCAGGCGUUAUCCGGAUUUAUUGGGUUUAAAGGGAGCGCAGGCGGCGGCGUAAGUCAGUUGUGAAAUCGUGCGGCUUAACCGUGCAAUUGCAGUUGAUACUGCGUCGCUUGAGUGCACACAGGGAUGUUGGAAUUCAUGGUGUAGCGGUGAAAUGCUUAGAUAUCAUGAAGAACUCCGAUCGCGAAGGCAUAUGUCCGGAGUGCAACUGACGCUGAGGCUCGAAAGUGUGGGUAUCAAACAGGAUUAGAUACCCUGGUAGUCCACACAGUAAACGAUGAAUACUCGCGGUUGGCUCGUUAGAAUCAGCCGCCAAGCGAAAGCGUUAAGUAUUCCACCUGGGGAGUACGCCGGCAA